UACGUAGGCAGCGAGCGUUGUUCGGAAUUACUGGGCGUAAAGAGUGUGUAGGUGGUGCUCUAAGUUCGGUGUGAAAUCUCCCGGCUUAACUGGGAGGGUGCGCCGAAAACUGGAGUGCUCGAGCGUGGGAGAGGAAAGCGGAAUUCCUGGUGUAGCGGUGAAAUGCGUAGAUAUCAAGAGGAACACCUGAGGUGAAGACGGGUUGCUGGGCCGACACUGACGCUGAGUGCGCGAAAGCCAGGGGAGCAAACGGG
rnacentral:rRNA from 1 species